rnacentral:tRNA from 1 species
GGGCAGGUGGCGAAACUGGCAAACCGCGGGGGCCUUAAAAGCCCCUGCCCCGAUGGGGCUUGUGGGUUCGAAUCCCACCCUGCCCACCA